rnacentral:rRNA from 1 species
UGGGGAAUCUUGCACAAUGGGGGCAACCCUGAUGCAGCGACGCCGCGUGAGCGAUGAAGCCCUUCGGGGCGUAAAGCUCUUUCGACCGGAACGAUAAUGACGGUACCGGGAGAAGAAGCUGCGGCUAACUACGUGCCAGCAGCCGCGGUAAUACGUAGGCAGCAAGCGUUGUUCGGAGUUACUGGGCGUAAAGAGUGCGUAGGCGGUUUUCUAAGUUGGAGGUGAAAUCCCCGGGCUUAACCCGGGAACUGCCUCCAAAACUGAAAGGCUAGAGUCCGAGAGAGGUGAGUGGAAUUUCCAGUGUAGAGGUGAAAUUCGUAGAUAUUGGAAAGAACACCAGUGGCGAAGGCGGCUCACUGGCUCGGUACUGACGCUGAGGUGCGACAGCGUGGGGAGCAAACA